CUAGCACCAUUUGAAAUCGGU
rnacentral:miRNA from 1 species